rnacentral:rRNA from 1 species
ACCUUAAAGCUAGCCUAAACACCCAAAAACCAUAGCAAUAUUAAACUCAACACCCUCCAAAACUUAACUUUAAAACAUUUUCAUGUUCCCAGUAUAGGUGAUAGAAAAG